UGGGGAAUAUUGGACAAUGGGCGCAAGCCUGAUCCAGCCAUGCCGCGUGAGGGAUGAAGGCCCUAGGGUUGUAAAGCUCUUUCACCGGUGAAGAUAAUGACGGUAACCGGAGAAGAAGCCCCGGCUAACUUCGUGCCAGCAGCCGCGGUAAUACGAAGGGGGCUAGCGUUGUUCGGGUUUACUGGGCGUAAAGCGCACGUAGGCGGACUUUUAAGUCAGGGGUGAAAUCCCGGGGCUCAACCCCGGAACUGCCUUUGAUACUGGAAGUCUUGAGUAUGGUAGAGGUGAGUGGAAUUCCGAGUUUAGAGGUGAAAUUCGUAGAUAUUCGGAGGAACACCAGUGGCGAAGGCGGCUCACUGGACCAUUACUGACGCUGAGGUGCGAAAGCGUGGGGAGCAAACAGG
rnacentral:rRNA from 1 species